GGGGCUAUAGCUCAGCGUUGGGGAGAGCGCUUGCAUGGUUACGUAAGAGGUCAGCGGUUCGAUCCCGCUUAGUUCACU
rnacentral:tRNA from 1 species